UCUACAGUGCAUGUGUCUCCAGUUUUUAGUAGACAACUGGAGAUACAGCCCUGUUGGAAU
rnacentral:pre_miRNA from 1 species